GAGCACUGUUUCGGCUAGGGGGCCAUCCCGGCUUACCAACCCGAUGCAAACUGCGAAUACCGGAGAAUGUUAUCACGGGAGACACACGGCGGGUGCUAAUGUCCGUCGUGAAGAGGGAAACAACCCAGACCGCCAGCUAAGGUCCCAAAGUCAUGGUUAAGUGGGAAACGAUGUGGGAAGGCCCAGACAGCCAGGAUGUUGGCUUAGAAGCAGCCAUCAUUUAAAGAAAGCGUAAUAGCUCACUGGUCGAGUCGGCCUGCGCGGAAGAUGUAACGGGGCUAAACCAUGCACCGAAGCUGCGGCAGCGACACCGUGUGUUGUUGGGUAGGGGAGCGUUCUGUAAGCCUGUGAAGGUGUGCUGUGAGGCAUGCUGGAGGUAUCAGAAGUGCGAAUGCUGACAUAAGUAACGAUAAAGCGGGUGAAAAGCCCGCUCGCCGGAAGACCAAGGGUUCCUGUCCAACGUUAAUCGGGGCAGGGUGAGUCGACCCCUAAGGCGAGGCCGAAAGGCGUAGUCGAUGGGAAACGGGUUAAUAUUCCCGUACUUGGUGUUACUGCGAAGGGGGGACGGAGAAGGCUAUGUUGGCCGGGCGACGGUUGUCCCGGUUUAAGCGUGUAGGUAUGUGUUCCAGGUAAAUCCGGUUCACUUUAACACUGAGGCGUGACGACGAGGCACUACGGUGCUGAAGCAACAAAUGCCCUGCUUCCAGGAAAAGCCUCUAAGCAUCAGGUAACAUCAAAUCGUACCCCAAACCGACACAGGUGGUCAGGUAGAGAAUACCAAGGCGCUUGAGAGAACUCGGGUGAAGGAACUAGGCAAAAUGGUGCCGUAACUUCGGGAGAAGGCACGCUGACACGUAGGUGAAGUGAUUUACUCACGGAGCUGAAGUCAGCCGAAGAUACCAGCUGGCUGCAACUGUUUAUUAAAAACACAGCACUGUGCAAACACGAAAGUGGACGUAUACGGUGUGACGCCUGCCCGGUGCCGGAAGGUUAAUUGAUGGGGUCAGCGCAAGCGAAGCUCCUGAUCGAAGCCCCGGUAAACGGCGGCCGUAACUAUAACGGUCCUAAGGUAGCGAAAUUCCUUGUCGGGUAAGUUCCGACCUGCACGAAUGGCGUAAUGAUGGCCAGGCUGUCUCCACCCGAGACUCAGUGAAAUUGAACUCGCUGUGAAGAUGCAGUGUACCCGCGGCAAGACGGAAAGACCCCGUGAACCUUUACUAUAGCUUGACACUGAACAUUGAGCCUUGAUGUGUAGGAUAGGUGGGAGGCUUUGAAGUGUGGACGCCAGUCUGCAUGGAGCCGACCUUGAAAUACCACCCUUUAAUGUUUGAUGUUCUAACGUGGACCCGUGAUCCGGGUUGCGGACAGUGUCUGGUGGGUAGUUUGACUGGGGCGGUCUCCUCCUAAAGAGUAACGGAGGAGCACGAAGGUUGGCUAAUCCUGGUCGGACAUCAGGAGGUUAGUGCAAUGGCAUAAGCCAGCUUGACUGCGAGCGUGACGGCGCGAGCAGGUGCGAAAGCAGGUCAUAGUGAUCCGGUGGUUCUGAAUGGAAGGGCCAUCGCUCAACGGAUAAAAGGUACUCCGGGGAUAACAGGCUGAUACCGCCCAAGAGUUCAUAUCGACGGCGGUGUUUGGCACCUCGAUGUCGGCUCAUCACAUCCUGGGGCUGAAGUAGGUCCCAAGGGUAUGGCUGUUCGCCAUUUAAAGUGGUACGCGAGCUGGGUUUAGAACGUCGUGAGACAGUUCGGUCCCUAUCUGCCGUGGGCGCUGGAGAACUGAGGGGGGCUGCUCCUAGUACGAGAGGACCGGAGUGGACGCAUCACUGGUGUUCGGGUUGUCAUGCCAAUGGCACUGCCCGGUAGCUAAAUGCGGAAGAGAUAAGUGCUGAAAGCAUCUAAGCACGAAACUUGCCCCGAGAUGAGUUCUCCCUGAGACUUUAGGUCUCCUGAAGGAACGUUGAAGACGACGACGUUGAUAGGCCGGGUGUGUAAGCGCAGCGAUGCGUUGAGCUAACCGGUACUAAUGAACCGUGAGGCUUAACCUUACAACGCCGAAG
rnacentral:rRNA from 1 species